CCUACGGGCGGCUGCAGUGGGGGAUAUUGCACAAUGGGGGAAACCCUGAUGCAGCAACGCCGCGUGAGUGAAGAAGUAUUUCGGUAUGUAAAGCUCUAUCUGCAGGGAAGUGAAUGACGGUACCUGACUAAGAUGCUCCGGCCAACUACGUGCCAGCAGCCGCGGUAAUACGGAGGGGGCGAGCGUUAUCCGGAUUUACUGGGUGUAAAGGGAGCUUAGACGGGUGGUCAAGUAUGAAGUGAAAGCCCGGGGCUUAACCCCGGAACGGCUUUGGAAACUGGGCAGCUAGAGUGCUGGAGAGGUAAGCGGAAUUCCUGGUGUAGCGGUGAAAUGCGUAGAUAUUAGGAGGAACACCAGUGGCGAAGGCGGCUUACUGGACAGUAACUGACGUUGAGGCUCGAAAGCGUGGGGAGCAAACAGGAUUAGAUACCCUUGUAGUC
rnacentral:rRNA from 1 species